GAUGAACGCUGACAGAAUGCUUAACACAUGCAAGUCUACCAAGAAUCACUUCGGUGAGGAAUGGUGGCGGACGGGUGAGUAAUGUCUGGGAAACUGCCUGAUGGAGGGGGAUAACUACUGGAAACGGUAGCUAAUACCGCAUAAUGUCGCAAGACCAAAGUGGUGGACCUUCGGGCCUCAUGCCAUCAGAUGUGCCAAGAUGGGAUUAGCUAGUAGGUGGGGUAACGGCUCACCUAGGCGACGAUCCCUAGCUGGUCUGAGAGGAUGACCAGCCACACUGGAACUGAGACACGGUCCAGACUCCUACGGGAGGCAGCAGUGGGGAAUAUUGCACAAUGGGCGCAAGCCUGAUGCAGCCAUGCCGCGUGUGUGAAGAAGGCCUUCGGGUUGUAAAGCACUUUCAGCGGGGAGGAAGGCGUUAAGGUUAAUAACCUUGGCGAUUGACGUUACCCGCAGAAGAAGCACCGGCUAACUCCGUGCCAGCCGCCGCCGUAA
rnacentral:rRNA from 1 species